rnacentral:snRNA from 1 species
AAAUAUAUUAAUUAAAAUUAAAAAAAAAAAUCUGUUCUCAUCUGUUUAAUCACUGCUAUGUCCUUGAUGUGAGGCCUGACGCAUUAAAUGUAUUUUUGGUGCCAGGAGAGGGCCUCAGAGCUUGCUCCAGCCACUCCAGGCAUCUGCCAGCCUGGCAUUGCAGUGUCAAAGCAAUGGGGGCAGUGGUGCUCAGGCA